UACGGAGGGGGCAAGCGUUAUUCGGAAUCAUUGGGCGUAAAGCGCGCGCAGGCGGAUUGUUAAGUCGGAUGUGAAAUCCCGGGGCUCAACCUUGGGGCUGCAUCCGAAACUGGCGAUCUGGAGUCUCGGAGAGGUAGGCGGAAUAUCUGGUGUAGCGGUGAAAUGCGUAGAUAUCAGAUGGAACACCGAUGGCGAAGGCAGCCUACUGGACGAUGACUGACGCUCAGGCGCGAAAGCGUGGGGAGCAAACAGG
rnacentral:rRNA from 1 species